GACGAACCGAGCGAACGUUGUUCGGAAUCACUGGGCGUAAAGGGCGCGUAGGCGGCUUGAUAAGCGUGCGGUGAAAGCCCGGGGCUCAACCCCGGGUCGGCCGUGCGAACUGUCGAGCUGGAGCACUGUAGAGGCAGGUGGAAUUCCGGGUGUAGCGGUGGAAUGCGUAGAGAUCCGGAAGAACACCGGUGGCGAAGGCGGCCCCCUGGGCCGGCCCUGACACUGAGACGCGAAGGCGUGGGGAGCGAACGGG
rnacentral:rRNA from 1 species